rnacentral:lncRNA from 1 species
AGAUGGGGUCUUCUUUUGUUGCCCAGGCUGGCCACAAAUUCCUGGGCUCAAGUGAUCCUCCCACCUCGUCCUUGUAGAGAUGAGAUUUAGUUAUGUCGUCCAGGCUGAUCUCAAACUCCUGGGCUAAAUCGAUUGUCUCACCUCAGCCUCUCAAGUAUGUUAUGAAGGUUAUAUGUUAGGAAGGGUCCCAGGAGGUAAACCCACACAGAUGGGAUUUGGGCAUAGGUUUGGUUUCCCAGGGGGCAGUGCUGAGCUCUUUGCCAGUGGGAAAUGGGAUGCUGGUGAUUUCCAGUAGGUGACCUCACAGUGACUCAAGCUACCACUUACUGUUGAUUGUGACGAAAUGCCAGCUGAGGCACAUGCCUUGGGAGCUAAGUGGUUGCUGCCCUUGACCACUGUGAAGACUGGUGUGGGAAGGGUCGUUUUGGAUGCACUUGAGCAGGGGUCCCCAACCCCUGAGCCAUGGAGCCGCAAGGAGCCACACAGCAGGAGGUGGGAACAUCCAGUUGCAGGAAAACAAGCUUAACACGCCCACUGAUUCUACAUUAUGCUCCUACCUCCCGGCAGCCUCUCCAGGCCCAGAACUUUCUCCAGUCAGCCUCUACAGACCAAGCUCAUGACUCUCAAUGGCCUAUUUAGGCCCAUACCCUACGUCACGGCAGCCUCCGCAGAUGAGGCUACUGCCUCACAACAGCCUCCACAGGCACAGCUCCAUCGUUACAAUGGCCUCUUUAGACCCAGCUCCUGCCUCCCAGCCUUCUCUCCAGGCCCUGAACUUUCUCAGUAAGUUCAGGGUCUCCCUCUGUUGUCCAAGGCUGGAGUGUAGUAGUGCUAUCGCAGCUGACUGCAGCCUCAACCUUCCAGGCUGAAGCGAUCCUCCCACCUCAACCUCCCACGUGGCUGAGACUACAGGUGCUU